rnacentral:lncRNA from 1 species
AUGUUUGCUCAAAAUCUCUAAUAUGAAGGUAAGGGUUUUCGUCUUCCUUUCCCGAAAAAGAUAGGUUUUGAAUCAUGGCAAUCAACCUAGAACUUAACUUAUACUGGGAUGUUUGGAUAGGCUGUGAUGAUUCCCAUGGUAAAAGGUCAGUUACUGAAGGGAUUGCAGAUUCAUGGAUCGAUUUAGAAUUUUGGUUUUCCAUAAGGUAAAAAGAAAAUAAAUAAAGAAUAUAAAAGAUAAGAAAAGAUAAAAGUAUAGAUACAAGUUAGUAGUAAGACUCAAGGUUAUCUCAGCAAACCGUCUUUCUCCCCGGCAACGGCGCCAGAAAUGCUUGUUGAUAUUUGGGAACGCAAUAAGGAAUUGACCCGCAAGCGCACGGAUAUCGGUGAGCACUUCACCCGGGAGGUUAUCCAGAGUAUCGUAUUUAUUUUUUUACCACUAGGAGAAAGAGUGCAUCUGACUAACCGGCCUAUUACUACUAACCCUUUAGGCAACAAAGAAUGUCUCUCGAUGUGAGUGAUAAAUAGAGAAGACUGCAACCGUAGUCUCCUUCUAACCUUGGUAAGGAUGAUCUACUGUUCUAUUGGGGAGGCUAACGGAAUCUAGACACCACAAAGGAUGUUCAACCCGCACCUAUAAACCCUAUCCUUCCUGCUAACGAGAUAUGGUCUGCAAAGGUAACUCAGAAUUGUCACGUUCCUCACUACUACCACAGUCUAGCUAGUCAGGGAAUAUCUAUGAGUACCCCAGCCUAAACACCACAUUUACGCCAGCAAUGAUUACUCUAAACUCUACGCG